CGGGGGAGGCCGGAUCCUGAGCUGUGUCCCGGCGCCCUGUGCUCCGGGGCCUGCGCUGUUGGAUUCGCGCUCCCGGGCCGCGCAACCCCCU
rnacentral:pre_miRNA from 1 species